CCUACGGGCGGCAGCAGUUAGGAAUAUUGGUCAAUGGACGAGAGUCUGAACCAGCCAAGUAGCGUGAAGGAUGACUGCCCUAUGGGUUGUAAACUUCUUUUAUAUGGGAAUAAAACGUUCCACGUGUGGGAUUUUGUAUGUACCAUAUGAAUAAGGAUCGGCUAACUCCGUGCCAGCAGCCGCGGUAAUACGGAGGAUCCGAGCGUUAUCCGGAUUUAUUGGGUUUAAAGGGAGCGUAGGUGGAUUGUUAAGUCAGUUGUGAAAGUUUGCGGCUCAACCGUAAAAUUGCAGUUGAAACUGGCAGUCUUGAGUACAGUAGAGGUGGGCGGAAUUCGUGGUGUAGCGGUGAAAUGCUUAGAUAUCACGAAGAACUCCGAUUGCGAAGGCAGUUCACUGGACUGCAACUGACACUGAGGCUCGAAAGUGUGGGUAUCAAACAGGAUUAGAUACCCGUGUAGUC
rnacentral:rRNA from 1 species